rnacentral:rRNA from 1 species
AAUCAACGCUGGCGGCGUGCCUAACACAUGCAAGUCGAACGAGAAAGUGGAGCAAUCCAUGAGUACAGUGGCGACCGGGUGAGUAACACGUGAUUAACCUACCUUCGAGUGGGGGAUAACGCCGGGAAACCGGCGCUAAUACCGCAUAACAUCGCUUGGUGAAAUUCCUUGCGAUCAAAGGAGCAAUUCGCUUGAAGAGGGAGUCGCGUCUGAUUAGCUAGUUGGUGAGGUAACGGCCCACCAAGGCGAUGAUCAGUAGCCGGCCUGAGAGGGCGCACGGCCACACUGGAACUGAAACACGGUCCAGACUCCUACGGGAGGCAGCAGUGGGGAAUUUUGCGCAAUGGGGGAAACCCUGACGCAGCAACGCCGCGUGGAGGAUGAAGUCCUUUGGGAUGUAACCUCCUUUCGACCGGGAAGAUAAUGACGGUACCGGAGGAAGAAGCACCGGCUACCUCUGUGCCAGCAGCCGCGGUAACAC